AUUGAACGCUGGCGGCAGGCCUAACACAUGCAAGUCGAACGAGUGGCGGAGGGGUGAGAAAUGUCUGGGAAACUGCCUGAUGGAGGGGGAUAACUACUGGAAACGGUAGCUAAUCCCGCAUACCAUCAGAUGGGGCCAGAGGGGAUUAGCUAGUUGGUGGGGUAACGGCUCACCAAGGCGACGAUCCCUAGCUGGUCUGAGAGGAUGACCAGCCACACUGGAACUGUGACACGGUCCAGACUCCUACGGGAGGCAGCAGUGGGGAAUAUUGCGCAAUGGGCGCAAUCCGGAUGCAGCCAUGCCGCGUAUAUGAAGAAGGCCUUGGGGUUGUAAAGUAUUUUCAGCGGGGAGGCGGUACCCGCAGAAGAAGCACCGGCUAACUCCGUGCCAGCAGCCGCGGUAAUUC
rnacentral:rRNA from 1 species